rnacentral:rRNA from 1 species
GAAGGGUGCAAGCGUUACUCGGAAUUACUGGGCGUAAAGCGUGCGUAGGUGGUUUGUUAAGUCUGAUGUGAAAGCCCUGGGCUCAACCUGGGAAUGGCAUUGGAUACUGGCGAGCUAGAGUGCGGUAGAGGGCAGUGGAAUUCCCGGUGUAGCAGUGAAAUGCGUAGAGAUCGGGAGGAACAUCUGUGGCGAAGGCGACUGCCUGGACCAGCACUGACACUGAGGCACGAAAGCGUGGGGAGCAAACAGGAUUAGAUACCCUGGUAGUCCACGCCCUAAACGAUGCGAACUGGAUGUUGGGUGCAAUUAGGCACUCAGUAUCGAAGCUAACGCGUUAAGUUCGCCGCCUGGGGAGUACGGUCGCAAGACUG